rnacentral:rRNA from 1 species
CCUACGGGAGGCAGCAGUGGGGAAUAUUGGACAAUGGGGGGAACCCUGAUCCAGCCAUGCCGCGUGUGUGAAGAAGGCCCUCGGGUUGUAAAGCACUUUCAGUGAGGAAGAAUGCCUGGUGGUUAAUACCCAUCAGGAAAGACAUCACUCACAGAAGAAGCACCGGCUAACUCCGUGCCAGCAGCCGCGGUAAUACGGAGGGUGCGAGCGUUAAUCGGAAUUACUGGGCGUAAAGCGCGCGUAGGUGGCUUGAUAAGCCGGUUGUGAAAGCCCCGGGCUCAACCUGGGAACGGCAUCUGGAACUGUCAAGCUAGAGUGCAGGAGAGGAAGGUAGAAUUCCCGGUGUAGCGGUGAAAUGCGUAGAGAUCGGGAGGAAUACCAGUGGCGAAGGCGGCCUUCUGGACUGACACUGACACUGAGGUGCGAAAGCGUGGGUAGCAAACAGGAUUAGAUACCCCGGUAGUC